rnacentral:rRNA from 1 species
UACAGAGGGUGCGAGCGUUAAUCGGAAUUACUGGGCGUAAAGCGUGCGUAGACGGUUAUGUAAGUUAGGUGUGAAAGCCCCGGGCUUAACCUGGGAAUGGCAUUCGGGACUGCAAGGCUGGAGUGCGGCAGAGGAGACUGGAAUUCCUGGUGUAGCAGUGAAAUGCGCAGAUAUCAGGAAGAACACCAAUGGCGAAAGCAGCUCUCUGGGACGGUACUGACGCUGAGACGCGAAAGCGUGGGGAGCGAACAGG